rnacentral:rRNA from 1 species
GACAGAGGGUGCAAACGUUGUUCGGAUUUACUGGGCGUAAAGCGCGUGUAGGCGGCUUUGCAAGUCGGAUGUGAAAGCCCACGGCUCAACCGUGGAAGUGCAUCCGAAACUGCAUGGCUGGAGUCUCGGAGAGGAAGGUGGAAUGCUUGGUGUAGAGGUGAAAUUCGUAGAUAUCAAGCAGAACACCUGCGGCGAAGGCGGCCUUCUGGACGAGGACUGACGCUGAGACGCGAAAGCGUGGGGAGCAAACAGG